UACGGAGGGUGCUAGCGUUGUUCGGAAUUACUGGGCGUAAAGGGCGCGUAGGCGGCCGUUUGCGUCGGAUGUGAAAGCCCGGGGCUCAACCUCGGAACGGCAUUCGAUACGGGACGGCUGGAGACCGGGAGAGGAGAGUGGAAUAGCCAGUGUAGAGGUGAAAUUCGUAGAUAUUGGCUGGAACACCGGUGGCGAAAGCGGCUCUCUGGCCCGGUUCUGACGCUGAGGCGCGAAAGGCGUGGGGAGCAAACAGG
rnacentral:rRNA from 1 species